GCACCUCAUAAAACGGGUGUCGGGAUUGGAACCCCGCUGGAGAUAAAGGCGAUACAGACGCCGAACGCGUCUUUUUU
rnacentral:sRNA from 1 species